CAACUUCUUGCUUCUUGUGUAUAAUAUUUGCUUAAAAAUGAGCAGUUUUGGCUUCUGGGUUUUAACAUAUAUUUCUCUUCUAAAUAAGCUAACGACGGCUGAAUCGCCAAUAGAGACUCCCUUGACAGAAAACCCCGUAAAUUGGAAUUACCACAAUCAAGCUGAUUGGCCUGAAACUCAUUGCAUAAAU